GAUAGGAUUAAUGGAGAGCGUACGAUUGAGUCUCACUCGAUCUACUCCCUCCAUUUGUCCUUUACUUAUUUUUAAAAUCAAAUUUUCAGAUUUUCACGAGAAGAAAAGAAGGGAAAUUUUCGGUUUCUUGGAGAGGAAGGAGAGAACAUUUUAGGUUCUCUAUAUAUACUCCAUUUUUCAGAUUUUCGUGGGGAAUUUUUGGACAGAAAACUUUGGGGAAAAAGGGAGAACAGAGGAGAAGGUUCUAGAGUUUGAGGGAGGUUUCAUUUUUGAUUUCAUCUACUUCUUUAGAGAAUCUGAUAGCCAUCCGAGAUUUACAGAAUGAAAAUUCCAAAAACGUUAGGUUUAGUUUCUCUUUUCUUUUGAAUCAAAUAUCACAAAAAAAGAAUUUGGCUUUUAUUUUGAUUUCGACCAUGGAAUUCACUUGAGGUGCUGAGAUUUGGUUUGAGUUCGUUGUCGAGUUCGUGAUUUCGGAUCCCGGUUCCUGGACUAAAUUAGCCCUUGUUUCGCUGGUUUUCAGACUCAAAGUUUGUAGUCGACCUGCUUUAUUUUGCUAUUAAAGAAAAACUGCUAUUUCAGCCGAGCUUUCGCCGUCAACAUUUCAUUUGUUGGUACUUUCGACCAAAGUUAAUUAUAAGGAAUUUGCUCGUUGAGGUAUGGAUCCACUUACCAGAGCUUGAGCAUGAGAGACGCCCUAGGGCCGUCUCAACCAAGACUGUUGCAUUUAGGAGCUACUUGAGGAGACUUUUUAUACUUUAAGUCUGUUUUUGUGUUGUCUUCUACUUUAUAGUCAUGUCUCAUAGUGUUGAGACUUAAAGGUGUUGUCAGAGUCUGUUGUAGUCUAGCUGAGUCUGUCAUCGCACUUCCGAUUUUGUAUUUAAAAAACCAAAAAAGUGAUAAAUGAAAAUUCAAAAAGAUUUUGUUUUAA